UCCCAGAUAAGUCCAGACCAACCUCCCUCAUCAGACUGGACUAACCUCUUAAAUGAGACCAACCACCCUUCCAAAUUAGACAGACCAACCCCCUACAUCAGACCUUCCACUCACACAAUAAACUGGGCACCUCUCCAACAUCAGACUGACCACAUUCCCACAUCAGAAUAACAACUAAAACAACAGACCAGAUCAUCAUCAUGCAUAAGACCAACCACCCUUACAGAAGAGACUGGACAACUCUCAUAUAUCAGAAUGGGGCCAGAUCAGAAUCACACACCCUCAGGUGUAUACUUAAUAUAAAGUGAAUAUAUUAUGUUUUUUAUUUAGAUGGGAUUCAUCCUCACUAUCUCUAUUUAGUGAUGGUCAAAUGUGUUUCCCAAGAAACCAGUGUCCAGGAUGGUUUGUAUCAUUAAUAUCCUCAUUUCUGUUAAGCCAAUAUGAAAAAUUAUCGCUC